GUGGGGAAUCUUAGACAAUGGGGGAAACCCUGAUCUAGCCAUGCCGCGUGAGCGAUGAAGGCCUUAGGGUUGUAAAGCUCUUUCAGCUGGGAAGAUAAUGACGGUACCAGCAGAAGAAGCCCCGGCUAACUCCGUGCCAGCAGCCGCGGUAAUACGGAGGGGGCUAGCGUUGUUCGGAAUUACUGGGCGUAAAGCGCGCGUAGGCGGACCAGAAAGUUGGAGGUGAAAUCCCAGGGCUCAACCUUGGAACUGCCUUCAAAACUCCUGGUCUGGAGUUCGAGAGAGGUGAGUGGAAUUCCGAGUGUAGAGGUGAAAUUCGUAGAUAUUCGGAGGAAUACCAGUGGCGAAGGCGGCUCACUGGCUCGAUACUGACGCUGAGGUGCGAAAGCGUGGGGAGCAAACAGGAUUAGAAACCCCUGUAGUCC
rnacentral:rRNA from 1 species